CCCUUAACGACUGGUCACUUACGUACCAGCAACUCAGCUUGAAGAAGGUUCCAUUAAACUGGAAAAGCUUGAGAGACUUUAGUUGGCAAGCUCCUGCUUGUCCCUGCUCCCUCGAGAAGCAGGGCCCCCCAAAAAGUUUAGAUCAGAUAUAUAAAAUAAAAGAAUGACUUUUGGUUCUGAUUUAUCUCACUUUCUCAUCUCAGACCCCCUCACAUGGCAAUGACAAGCAAAAGGGAUUUUCUUUGGAGCCAUGCUACAGCGUCCAGCCUGUGAAGCAAGUAUCCUCAGAAUCACCAGAGUCCCCUGGAAGGAUGCUUUGGCACUCUUGGCAGUUCUCUGGGUGAACGUUGCUAUGAUACAGUCUUGCGAAGAGCUGACUGCUCACAAGUGAGGGCAAGUGCUAUUUAAGUUGGG
rnacentral:lncRNA from 1 species